GCGGGGAUGGCCCAGCCCGGUAAGGCGUUGGAUUGCUAUCCCGGUCCCUUGCGGAUCGAGGCAGAUAUCCAAUGCUCGAAAGAGCUCGGGGGUUCAAAUCCCCCUCCUCGCG
rnacentral:tRNA from 1 species